rnacentral:rRNA from 1 species
UGCCGACGAUGCGUAGGGGUUCUGAGAGGAAGGCCCCCCACACUGGUACUGAGACACGGACCAGACUCCUACGGGAGGCAGCAGUGAGGAAUAUUGGUCAAUGGCCGAGAGGCUGAACCAGCCAAGUCGCGUGAGGGAAGAAUGUCCUAAGGAUUGUAAACCUCUUUUGUCGGGGAGCAAAAAGGCUCUGCGGAGUCGUAUUGAGAGUACCCGAAGAAAAAGCAUCGGCUAACUCCGUGCCAGCAGCCGCGGUAAUACGGAGGAUGCGAGCGUUAUCCGGAUUUAUUGGGUUUAAAGGGUGCGCAGGCGGCGUGUCAAGCAAGCGGUAAAAUAGCGGGGCUCAACCCCGUCGAGCCGUUUGAACUGGCGCGCUUGAGUUCAGGCGAGGUAGGCGGAAUUCGUGGUGUAGCGGUGAAAUGCAUAGAUAUCACGAAGAACUCCGAUUGCGAAGGCAGCUUACCAGUCUGCGACUGACGCUCAGGCACGAAAGUGUGGGUAUCGAACAGGAUUAGAUACCCUGGUAGUCCACACAGUAAACGAUGAGCGCUAGGUGUCCGGGUCGCAUGAGACUUGG